rfam:Gossypium arboreum cultivar AKA8401 contig_16177_3, whole genome shotgun sequence.
AACCCAUGCAUAGGACAUUUUCUAAGAAGUUCCUUAAAUCUUUCCCAGGCUUCAUAAAGCAUUUCAUUCUCUGAUUGUCGAAAGGAUGUGAUGUCAUUUCUGAGCUU